GUUCUAAGUAGAAAAAAAACAUGAUACGCUUUUAUACAGAAAGGUUUGGUUAUCCGCGUCGCACUGAAACCUCCCUAAUUUAGCCAUUCGGCGCCGUAACGGCGUUGAAAUCAGUCAAUCAAGCUCUGAAGAGGUUGAGCCGCCGGCCCUGCGGCGAGGAGUCGGUGGUGAGCGUCAUGUUGGCGCAGAUCUCGUCGAAGGAGGGCAGGUGCGCGAGCCGCCCGCGCGCCGCCACCGACGGCCGCCCGCUCAGCAUGCGCCGGGCCACGCGCACUAUGUCGUCCGCUGUCACUUUUUC